rnacentral:rRNA from 1 species
ACACAUGCAAGUCGAGGGGCAGCAUGGUCUUAGCUUGCUAAGACUGAUGGCGACCGGCGCACGGGUGAGUAACACGUAUCCAACCUGCCGUCUACUCUUGGACAGCCUUCUGAAAGGAAGAUUAAUACAAGAUGGCAUCAUGAGUCCGCAUGUUCACAUGAUUAAAGGUAUUCCGGUAGACGAUGGGGAUGCGUUCCAUUAGAUAGUAGGCGGGGUAACGGCCCACCUAGUCUUCGAUGGAUAGGGGUUCUGAGAGGAAGGUCCCCCACAUUGGAACUGAGACACGGUCCAAACUCCUACGGGAGGCGGCAGUGAGGAAUAUUGGUCAAUGGGCGAGAGCCUGAACCAGCCAAGUAGCGUGAAGGAUGACUGCCCUAUGGGUUGUAAACUUCUUUUAUAAAGGAAUAAAGUCGGGUAUGCAUACCCGUUUGCAUGUACUUUAUGAAUAAGGAUCGGCUAACUCCGUGCCAGCAGCCGCGGUAAUACGGAGGAUCCGAGCGUUAUCCGGAUUUAUUGGGUUUAAAGGGAGCGUAGAUGGAUGUUUAAGUCAGUUGUGAAAGUUUGCGGCUCAAACCGUAAAUUGCAGUUGAUACUGGAUAUCUUGAGUGCAGUUGAGGCGGCGGAAUUCGUGGUGUAGCGGUGAAAUGCUUAGACUAUCACGAAGACCUCCGAUUGCGAAGGC